rnacentral:lncRNA from 1 species
AGAGAGAGAGAGAGAGAGAGAGAGAGAGAGAGAGAGAGAGAGAGAGAGAGAAAAUGAUCUCACUAACGCCAAAAAUCAAGCAUUCAGUUUCCCAAAGAAAGCACCAAAUAUUUCUCAUUGCAUUACUGUUCCUUGUGACUCUGAUGACGCUGACAAGCCCUGGAGGCCACGUGGCUGUUCUUACCAUGGAUAACGAUGAGUUUUUGAAAGCUUUGUGGCAAGAGAAAUGGCAGGGACAGGUAAAUCGGCUGAAUUUGGAAGACCAAGCCAAAGGAUGACCCUGACCUCCUGAGGCUAUUGAAGGAUAGAUACCUCUCUAAGCCCAGUGACAAACCAGCUAAUCUAAUGUUAGAUCUGGAAACCGAUCGAGCGAAGAAUUAUAAUAUUUACAGAACGGCUUUUCAUUCUUGGAUUCGUAUUAAUAAAAUCCUGAAGAAGUGAGUAUAUAUUGAGCGUUUGUUUUGCUUGGGGAAUGGCGUGACAAUUUUUUUUUUUCUUUUCUCUUUUUUUACUAAGUAGAGAGAUCUUUGAUUAGAGUUCAUUUAUAUAAUUAGAUUUUUCUGUGAUUUAUUUUAUGUCCACUGGGUACAUUUCCUUCAACUCUUUGUUUGUCACUAUUUUAUGUUAUCUUUAUU